rnacentral:misc_RNA from 1 species
GAUGAAGAACGCAGUGAAAUGCGAUACGUAAUGUGAAUUGCAGAAUUCAGUGAAUCAUCGAGUCUUUGAACGCACAUUGCGCCCCCUGGUAUUCCGGGGGGCAUGCCUGUUCGAGCGUCAUUUGUACCUUCAAGCUUUGCUUGGUGUUGGGUGUUUGUCUCGCCUUUGCGUGUAGACUCGCCUUAAAAUAAUUGGCAGCCGGCGUAUUGAUUUCGGAGCGCAGUACAUCUCGCGCUUUGCACUCAUAACGACAGCGUCCAAAAGUACAUUUUACACUCUUGACCUCGGAUCAGGUAGGGAUACCCGCUGAACUUAAGCAUAUCAAUAAGCGGAGGA